AGUGGGAUAGCUAGGUCAAAUUGAGGUUUCAUUUCAAGUUUUCUGAGGAAUCUCCAUACUGCUCUCCAUAGUGGUUGCAUAAUUUGCAGUCCCACCAGCAAU
rnacentral:pre_miRNA from 1 species